rnacentral:rRNA from 1 species
GCCAGACUCCUACGGGAGGCAGCAGUGGGGGAUAUUGCACAAUGGGGGGAACCCUGAUGCAGCGACGCCGCGUGGGUGAAGGAGCGUUUCGGCGCGUAAAGCCCUAUCGGCAGGGAAGAAGGAGGACGGUACCUGACUAAGAAGCCCCGGCUAACUACGUGCCAGCAGCCGCGGUAAUACGUAGGGGGCAAGCGUUAUCCGGAUUUACUGGGUGUAAAGGGGGCGCAGACGGCAGCGCAAGCCAGGAGAGAAAGCCCGGGGCCCAACCCCGGGACUGCUCUUGGAACUGCGCGGCUGGAGUGCAGGAGGGGCAGGCGGAAUUCCUGGUGUAGCGGUGAAAUGCGUAGAUAUCAGGAGGAACACCGGUGGCGAAGGCGGCCUGCUGGACUGCGACUGACGUUGAGGCCCGAAAGCGUGGGGAGCAAACAGGAUUAGAUACCCCAGUAAUA